GUAUAAGAGACAGCAGUCGCCGCGGUAAUACGGAGGGGGCUAGCGUUGUUCGGAAUUACUGGGCGUAAAGCGCACGUAGGCGGCUUGGUAAGUUAGAGGUGAAAGCCCGGAGCUCAACUCCGGAAUUGCCUUUAAGACUGCCGAGCUAGUAGGUGAGAGAGGUAAGUGGAACUCCGAGUGUAGAGGUGAAAUUCCUAGAUAUUCGGAAGAACACCAGUGGCGAAGGCGGCUUACUGGCUCAUUCUAGACGCUGAGGUGCGAAAGCGUGGGGAGCAAACAGGAUUAGAUACCCGAGUAGUCCCUGUCUCUUAUAC
rnacentral:rRNA from 1 species